GGCAGCCGCCGCGGUAACACCGGCAGCUCUAGUGGUAGCAAUUUUAUGGGCCUAAAGCGUCCGUAGCCGGUUUAAUAAGUCUCUGGUGAAAUCCUGCAGCUUAACUGUGGGAAUUGCUGGAGAUACUAUUAGACUUGAGACCGGGAGAGGUUAGAGGUACUCCAGGGUAGAGGUGAAAUUCUGUAAUCCUGGGAGGACCGCCUGUUGCGAAGGCGUCUAACUGGAACGGUUCUGACGGUGAGGGACGAAAGUUAGGGGCGCGAACCGGAUUAGAUACCCGGGUAGUCCUAACUGUAAACGAUGCGGACUUGGUGUUGGGGUGGCUUUGAGCUGCUUCAGUGCCGAAGGGAAGCUGUUAAGUCCGCCGCCUGGGAAGUACGGUCGCAAGACUGAAACUUAAGGAAUUGGCGGGGGAGCACCACAACGCGUGGAGCCUGCCGGUUUAAUUGGAUUCAACGCCGGACAUCUCACCAGAGGCGACAGCUGUAUGAUAGCCAGGUUGAUGACUUUGCUUGACUAGCUGAGGAGUGGUGCAUGG
rnacentral:rRNA from 1 species